CUGCUGCCUCCCGUAGGAGUCUGGUCCGUGUCUCAGUACCAGUGUGGGGGACCUUCCUCUCAGAACCCCUACUGAUCGUCGCCCCGGUGGGCCGUUACCCCGCCGGCAAGCUAAUCAGACGCAUCCCCAUCCUUUACCGGCCGAAGCCUUUGGUCAUGAAAAUAUGCAUCAACAUGACAACAUACGGUAUUAAUCCGCCUUUCGACGGGCUGUCCCAUAGUAAAGGGCAGGUUGGAUACGCGUUACUCACCCGUGCGCCGGUCGCCA
rnacentral:rRNA from 1 species